GGGCAGGAUCAUCUAGGUUUGGAUGUUUGACUCCGAGCCAAAAGGUUCUGGGUUCGAACCCCAAUGGCCUGACCC